ensembl:lncRNA
UUAAACGAAACCUCAAGAUCUUCGCAAUUUAACAUCGCAAAGGCCUUUAGAUUACACUGACAAAGUUUGGUGUUGAUCUGAAUAAAUCUCUAGGAGGAGUUCGUUAAAGUACAACCCCUGAAAAUGGCAAAAACGACACAAACUUUGCAGAGAAAAUUCAAAAUAACUGACUUCCUGUUGGGAUUCGAAUUUCGUACCAAGAGACUUUUUUGUAGGUAUUGGUGUGUUACAUGUGUGUACCGAUUUUUGUACAUGUACGUGAAACGUAGCUCGAGGCGCACUCCGUUGAAAAUGUAUAGGUGGCGCUAUCGAGGCAUUUUGCCACACCCAAUGGAAUAUUGGCCUUAAGAUGUGUUCAGGCCAGGACUCUUAUCGAACAUGUGAAGUUUGGGCAAGAUCGGACAUUUUAUGCCUGAGUUACAAUAACUUUUAUUCCCAUGGCGAGACAUCGAACUUUGUGACGGCGCCAUGGACACGCCCUUUAACGAAAACUCAAGAUCUUCAUAAUUUAACAACGCACAGGCCUUUAGAAUAGAGUGACUGAAAAAAACAAAUUUAUGUCAUAAAAUUUCUCGGGGUAGUUUGUUACAGUGUAAAAUAUGUCACUUCCUGUUGCCAGUAGGUGGCGCUAUGACUAUAACUGAAUAUGGGCAUAUCAAUCUGUUCAGGUCAGGAGUCUUAUCAAACAUGUGAAGUUUGGGGCAGAUUGGACAUUGUAUGUCUGAGUUAUAGCAACUUCAUUUUUCAUGGCGAAUCAUCGAAAUUCGUCAGGCCGCCACGGACACGCCCUUCAACGAAAACUCAAGAUCUUCGCAAUUUAACAUCGCAAAGGCCUUUAGAUUAG